rnacentral:rRNA from 1 species
CAAGUCGAGCGAACGGACGAGAGGCUUGCUUCUCUGAUGUUAGCGGCGGACGGGUGAGUAACACGUGGAUAACCUACCUAUAAGACUGGGAUAACUUCGGGAAACCGGAGCUAAUACCGGAUAAUAUUUUGAACCGCAUGGUUCAAAAGUGAAAGACGGUCUUGCUGUCACUUAUAGAUGGAUCCGCGCUGCAUUAGCUAGUUGGUAAGGUAACGGCUUACCAAGGCAACGAUGCAUAGCCGACCUGAGAGGGUGAUCGGCCACACUGGAACUGAGACACGGUCCAGACUCCUACGGGAGGCAGCAGUAGGGAAUCUUCCGCAAUGGGCGAAAGCCUGACGGAGCAACGCCGCGUGAGUGAUGAAGGUCUUCGGAUCGUAAAACUCUGUUAUUAGGGAAGAACAUAUGUGUAAGUAACUGUGCACAUCUUGACGGUACCUAAUCAGAAAGCCACGGCUAACUACGUGCCAGCAGCCGCGGUAAUACGUAGGUGGCAAGCGUUAUCCGGAAUUAUUGGGCGUAAGGCGCGCGUAGGCGGUUUUUUAAGUCUGAUGUGAAAGCCCACGGCUCAACCGUGGAGGGUCAUUGGAAACUGGAAAACUUGAGUGCAGAAGAGGAAAGUGGAAUUCCAUGUGUAGCGGUGAAAUGCGCAGAGAUAUGGAGGAACACCAGUGGCGAAGGCGACU